CAAUAGCGUAUAUUAAAGUUGUUGCGGUUAAAAAGCUCGUAGUUGGAUUUCUGUCGAGGAUGGCCGGUCCGCACUUUGUGCGUGCAUCUGGUUCAGCCUUGGCAUCCUCCUGGGGAACGUAUCUGCGCUUAAUUGCGUGGUGCGGUAUCCAGGACUUUUACUUUGAGGAAAUUAGAGUGUUCACGGCAGGCAAACGCCUUGAAUACAUUAGCAUGGAAUAAUAAUAUAGGACCUUGGUCCCAUUUUGUUGGUUUCUGGAACUGAGGUAAUGAUUAAUAGGGAUAAUUGGGGGCAUUCGUAUUAACGUGUCAGAGGUGGAAUUCUUAGAUUGCGUUACGACGAACUACUGCGAAAGCAUUUGCCAAGGAUGUUUUCAUUGAUCAAGAACGAAAGUAUGGGAUCGAAGACGAUCAGAUACCGU
rnacentral:rRNA from 1 species